CCUACGGGGGGCAGCAGUGAGGAAUAUUGGUCAAUGGACGAGAGUCUGAACCAGCCAAGUAGCGUGAAGGAUGACUGCCCUAUGGGUUGUAAACUUCUUUUAUAAAGGAAUAAAACGAGGCACGUGUGCCUUUUUGCAUGUACUUUAUGAAUAAGGAUCGGCUAACUCCGUGCCAGCAGCCGCGGUAAUACGGAGGAUCCGAGCGUUAUCCGGAUUUAUUGGGUUUAAAGGGAGCGUAGAUGGGUUGUUAAGUCAGUUGUGAAAGUUUGCGGCUCAACCGUAAAAUUGCAAUUGAUACUGGCAGUCGUGAGUACAGUUGAGGUAAGCGGAAUGCGUGGUGUAGCGGUGAAAUGCUUAGAUAUCACGAAGAACCCCGAUUGCGAAGGCAGCUUACUAAACUGUGACUGACAUUGAUGCUCGAAAGUGUGGGUAUCAAACAGGAUUAGAUACCCCAGUAGUC
rnacentral:rRNA from 1 species